GUGGGUCGGCACAAGGGUCCUUCUAAGGACAAGAGGAGGCAAAAGAGCCAGAGGAAGAACCAAAGAGAAGGGGGCAUGAAAGGCACUCAGCUCACUGUUUCCGACUUUGAAGAUGCAGGACCAGCGCCAGGGAAUGCAGACGGCCACUAGAAGGUAGGAAACACGGAGAAACAGAUGGUUUCCUAGGGCCUCCAGGAAGGAACACAGCCCACUGACACCUUGAUUUUGACCCAGAGAGACCCACCUCAGACUUCUGACCUCCAGAACUGUGAGAGAUUCCAGGCAGGGAAGUAACGUGCCUGACAUCCAUGGAACCAGUUCCUCCCAGAGGUGGCACUGCUGACUCUCCGUUCACAGCCACUUACACUACCGUCCCUGCAGAAAUGGGGUGCUACAGAGAAUGUCCUUAGCAAACUUUCAGAGACAAGGCUAUUUUAGAGUGCAAGAGCAAAAACCCAUUCAACCCGGCAAAAAUCACAGAGUCUUAGAAAGAAUCAGGAUCUUACAGAGCUCCAGUCAGGCCUCAUUGGGAACUGGAACCAGCAAUUGGAAAAGCAGCAGGAACCUAGACAGUUAUUGUCCCUCGUGUGGGUGUGUGUAUUUGUCUCCAGGCUACUUUCUCUCUGCUUCCCUUUGCACAUGAAGCUGCAGGAGCAGGAACCUGGUCAGCCCUUUCGGUCAGGUGUCCACCCCUUCUCCCUCCAGGAACGAGCAGGGAGCGGAGCCAGUUGUAGAAACAUGGGUACGGGGUUACCUUACAACGGGCGAGAUAAAAAUAAAUGCAAGAAUAUCUUUUUCUUGGAAAAUGUCCAACUAAUAAUAUGUGAAAUUAGAAAGAGUUACCUUACAACUGGCGAGAGUUCUGGAGAGAAAUUCUCAGAAACGGGGCAUGUUGUUAGGGUCCUUCCCUUAAGAUUUUGUCUUAAAUAUGUGGAAUACUCGCAGGGAGGAAAAUGGGACGGGUGGAGUAGAACAGGUGAUUUUUGCUUUGGUAGAGGAUUUUCUGUUAACCACUUUACCUGAACAUCUAAGAAUCGUUUCAAUUACUCCAGAAGAUAUCAAAAGCAAAACUCCAAAAUUUCCCCAUAAUUUCUUCUAAAAAGGAUAAUCUAAUGCCACCCCCUUCAGUUACCACAGGAUGCUGUCCCAAGAAUGCUCAGAAGGGUUCCUGGUCCCUUAAAAGAGCAAAGGUGGGGGGAUGGAGUGUGAAGGUGCGUGGGGAGGACAAGAGGUAUGCAGGAGGGUGGAGGGGACCUGCUUUGACUCAGGAGGUCACACAGCAGAUCAGCGAAUGACAGAGGAUGAAGUAGGCAGUGAGAAAUGGAAAGGAGAUCAUAAAUGAAACUACCAUAUAAACAUGAUAAGCCAACAGUACAAACGUGAUAAGCCAACUAAAAUCAGCUUCUUAUUUGAAAUUUAAAUAUUAGAAUUUCACUGCUGUCUACAGCUGAUGCAGAAAGUUUUCCAAAGACCACACAUGUGGUGUUGGUACAUUUGGAAUAGCAAUUUGCCAAGGGAAAGUUGAGCUUCUUAGACUCAGCAUACAAUGAUUAAGCGCAGGAAAUCAAAUAGCGGGUUGAAGCCAAAUUUUACAUGAGCUUCAAGUAUAAGCUAUUAAAAGAGUCUGAAAAGUUAUGUUUUUUAUUUUAAAAUGCAUAACGGCAUUAUCCAAUUCAAUAAAUUCUCCAUGAGUAGUCAAUGACAUCAAAUGUUCUCUUAUGGAGAAAACAUCAGAAUAACCAGUCCUAUUCCUCACUGAAAACAUAAAAAGAAUCCACAACAAAGCCUUGUCCUAAGGGAGAAAGUCACAGUAAAUAUGCCUCUAGGCUGCCGCCAGUUGUGUUUUCCUUGUUAAGGGUUGCUAGCUAAAUACCACUGAUAAAAGUAGGAAACCGUCCCCAAGGCUUUAACUUGAUUUAUAGCAAUGAUGACACGUGCUCAACACCCAGGAUCCCUCAAGAAAGACACCUGACAGGGCCUUUGGUCGCCUUUUUCUGCAGGAAGAAAGUUUGAGGACGGUGGCUAACUGCCGCCGGGGACCUACGUCAGAGCUUGAACUGACCUCCCCUCAAGGGUUCUCAUAUGGGCACAGAACCUAGAGCUCAUUCAGUGCAACGCCCUCAUGUUCCUGGGUGUCUGUCACCGGUUCUGUGUCUACUGAUGCGCAGGCAUAAAUCUCCAAUUUUUCAACAACUUAUUUACAGAAAGAAUCGCGAAGCCGCUGACCUCAGACUCGCAUCUCUGAGGAACCUGACUUUGGACUUUAGCCUACGUGUUAAACCUCAGGAAAUUUUAUACAUGAGCAAGGAACACAGGACCCAAGACAAGCAGACUGAUCGUCAAGCCGCUGUCUCAAUUUUUUUAAAUGUUCUUGAGAACAUUUGACGUGUUCUUCGAGCCAA
ensembl:lncRNA